rnacentral:rRNA from 1 species
GAUGAACGCUGGCGGCGUGCCUAAUACAUGCAAGUCGAGCGAACAGAUGAGGAGCUUGCUCCUCUGACGUUAGCGGCGGACGGGUGAGUAACACGUGGAUAACCUACCUAUAAGACUGGGAUAACUUCGGGAAACCGGAGCUAAUACCGGAUAAUAUAUUGAACCGCAUGGUUCAAUAGUGAAAGACGGUUUUGCUGUCACUUAUAGAUGGAUCCGCGCCGCAUUAGCUAGUUGGUAAGGUAACGGCUUACCAAGGCAACGAUGCGUAGCCGACCUGAGAGGGUGAUCGGCCACACUGGAACUGAGACACGGUCCAGACUCCUACGGGAGGCAGCAGUAGGGAAUCUUCCGCAAUGGGCGAAAGCCUGACGGAGCAACGCCGCGUGAGUGAUGAAGGUCUUCGGAUCGUAAAACUCUGUUAUUAGGGAAGAACAAAUGUGUAAGUAACUAUGCACGUCUCGACGGUACCUAAUCAGAAAGCACGGCGAACUACGU